CCUACGGGAGACUGCAGUGGGGAAUAUUGCGCAAUGGGCGCAAGCCUGACCCAGCAAUGCCGCGUGAAGGAAGAAGGCUUUCGGGUUGUAAACUUCUGUGAUAGGGGAAGAGCAUAUGACGUUACCCUUAAUACCAGCCACGGCUAACUACGUGCCAGAAGCCGCGGUAAUUCGUAGGUGGCAAGCGUGGUCCGGAUUUACUGGGUGGAAAGGGCGUGUAUCCGGGGAGGCAAGUCAGAUGUGAAAUCCGGAGGCUCAACCUCCGAAUUGCAUUGGAAACUGUUUUUCUUGAGUACUGGAGAGGCAGACGGAAUUCCUUGUGUAGCGGUGAAAUGCGUAGAUAUAAGGAGGAACACCAGUGGCGAAGGCGGUCUGCUGGACAGCAACUGACGGUGAGGCGCGAAAGCGUGGGGAGCAAACAGGAUUAGAUACCCCAGUAGUC
rnacentral:rRNA from 1 species